UCAGGCUCCUAUCGAAGCCGUUCAUGCUCUUCUGUAGCUUUGAGCGGUCAUCUGGAUGCCGAGAAGAACACUUCUUCCGACGGUCGCUGAUCAGUUUAUAAAAUAACUGUUUCCGCAACAUUUGGGGAAGGACAUUU